UACGUAGGAGACAAGCGUUGUCCGGAAUUACUGGGUGUAAAGCGCGUGUAGGCGGUAGGCCAAGUCUGCUGUGAAAUCGCCCGGCUCAACUGGGCGCGGUCGGUGGAAACUGGUCAACUGGAGGACGGUAGAGGCGAGUGGAAUUCCCGGUGUAGUGGUGAAAUGCGUAGAGAUCGGGAGGAACACCAGUGGCGAAGGCGGCUCGCUGGGCCGGUCCUGACGCUGAGACGCGAAGGCGUGGGGAGCGAACG
rnacentral:rRNA from 1 species